GUGCUCGCUUUGGCAGCACAUAUACUAAAAUUGGAUCGAUACAAAGAAGAUUAGCAUGGCCCCUGCGAACUGGCAACAGACAAACAGAGAACACAGGUAUAAAU